rnacentral:rRNA from 1 species
UUUCUGAACCCUAGGGUGGUUCAGGAACAAGGACUGGGCAAGACCGGUGCCAGCCGCCGCGGUAAUACCGGCAGUCCGAGUGAUGGCCGAUAUUAUUGGGCCUAAAGCGUCCGUAGCCGGCCGGACAAGUCCGUUGGGAAAUCGACGCGCUCAACGCGUCGGCGUCCAGCGGAAACUGUCCGGCUUGGGGCCAGAAGAUCUGAGGGGUACGUCCGGGGUAGGAGUGAAAUCCCGUAAUCCUGGACGGACCACCGGUGGCGAAAGCGCCUCAGAAAGAUGGACCCGACGGUGAGGGACGAAAGCUAGGGUCUCGAACCGGAUUAGAUACCCGGGUAGUCCUAGCCGUAAACAAUGCUCACUAGGUGUGACGCAGGCUACGAGCCUGCGUUGUGCCCUAGGGAAGCCGAGAAGUGAGCCGCCUGGGAAGUACGUCCGCAAGGAUGAAACUUAAAGGAAUUGGCGGGGGUGCACUACAACCGGAGGAGCCUGCGGUUUAAUUGGACUCAACGCCGGAAAUCUCACCGGCCCCGACAGUAGUAAUGACGGUCAGGUUGACGACUUUACCCGAUGCUACUGAGAGGAGGUGCAUGGCCGCCGUCAGCUCGUACCGUGAGGCGUCCUGUUAAGUCAGGCAACGAGCGAGACCCGCACUUCUAGUUGCCAGCAACACCCUUGUGGUGGUUGGGUACACUAGGAGGACUGCCGCUGCUAAAGCGGAGGAAGGAACGGGCAACGGUAGGUCAGUAUGCCCCGAAUGGGCCGGGCAACACGCGGGCUACAAUGGCCGGGACAAUGUGAUGCCACGCCGAGAGGCGGAGCUAAUCACCUAAACCCGGUCGUAGUUCGGAUUGCGGGCUG